CCGGCGACCGGCGCACGGGUGAGUAACACGUAUGAAACCUGCCCGUAGCAGGGGGAUAAGCGGAAGAAAUUCCGUCUAAUACCGCGUAACAACCCAUGGAGGCAUCUCUGUGGGUUUAAAGGAAGCGAUUCCGGCUACGGAUGGUCAUGCGUCGCAUUAGCUUGUUGGCGGGGUAACGGCCCACCAAGGCGACGAUGCGUAGGGGUUCUGAGAGGAAGGUCCCCCACACUGGUACUGAGACACGGACCAGACUCCUACGGAAGGCAGCAG
rnacentral:rRNA from 1 species